ensembl:lncRNA
GUUCAUUAACUUAGGAUAGGCAGACAUUCCUUAUAUAGUAUGUAGAAAGUGUGCGGAGAACAAAAAUCAUAAAAAACUUGAUAAAUUUUAUGUUAUCGAAAUUUAAAAGCCUGAUCUUCUAAAGACACAGUUAAGAAAAUAAAAAAUAUAAGCAAAGACUAAGAGAAAAUGUUUAUAAUACAUAUAUGUACAUAUAUAUAUACACACAUAAAUACAUAUAUUUAUACAUAUAUAUAUGUGACUGAUAUGGACUAAACUCUGUCCCCCCAAAUUCACGUGUUGAAGCUCUAACUCUCAAUACGACUGCAUUUGGAGAUAGGUCCUAUAAGGGGGUAAUGAAGGUCAAGUGAGGUUGUAGGGUUGAGGCCCUGAUCCAAGAGGAUUAGUGUCCAUAUAAGAAGAGACACCAGAAAGCUCACUCUCUCUCUCUGCCCUAUGAAGAGACAGCGACAAGGCAGCUGUCUGUGAGCCAGGAAGUGAACCAUUACCAGGAAUCCAAUCAGCCAGCACCUUGAUCUUGGGCUUCCCAGCCUCCAUAUUUGUGAGACAAUAAUUUCUGUAGUUGAAGCCACGUAGUUUGUGGCAUUUUUUUAUGACAGCCUGAGCUGACUAAUACAGAUGACAAAGGGUUUACAUUCAGAAUAAAGACCCUGACAACUCAAUAAGAAAAGCAGCCCUGAAAAUGGGUGAAAAGUUUGAACAGACACUUAAUUAAAAAAGAAAUACAGAUGUCUCACUAGCACAUGAAAAGAUAUUGAACAUGAUUAGUUAUGGAAAUACAAACUAAUACCACAAUGAGAUACCAAUAAAUAACAACUAGAAAGACUUUAAUUAACAGUACCAAGUGAUAGAGAAAAGCAUAACUUUAGCUUCUUUCAAUGCUUGUGAGACUUUAAAUGAUACAGCCACUUUGGAAAAUGUUUGACAAUUUCUCGUAGAGUUGAUUAUACACUUACCUAUUGAUUAUAUACUAUGAUUUUAUACUUAUAUACAUGACUAAGCAAUUCCACUCCUAGAAAUUUAUCCAAGGGAGAUGAAAACAUAUGUGAGUGGAAAAACUUAUAUGUGAAUGUUCAUGGCAACUUUAUUCAUAAGAGCCAAAAGCUAGAAAUAAUGUAAGUUUGUAUCAAUAGGUGUAUCAACAGAUAAAUAAAAUAUGCUAUCUCCACAGAAUAUAAUAUAGUUAAUGAUAAAAAGGAAUAAACUAUCAAUGCAUAAAAACUACAUGGAUAAAACUCAGAAACAUUGUGAAGGGAGAAAAAAUCAGGCCCAGAAAGUGUACGUACUAUGUGAGUCCAUGCACAUGAGAUUCUAGAAAUGGAAAAGCUAAAUUAUCAUGGUAGAAAAAAGAUCGGUGAUUUUUUUGGUGUGCUGUGAAGGUGCAAGUGCUGAUUGAAAAAGGGCAUAGAUGAACUGUGGCGUGACUGAAAUAUUCAAUAUCUUGACUUGGUGGUAUUUACAAUGUGUGUAUAUUUGUCAUAUUUCAGUGAACUUUUAUGUAGGUGAUUUUAUUGUUUGUAAAUUAUGCCUCAAUAAAUUAUUUUUUGAAAGAGGAAAUGUGUUGUGAAGCAUAUAUGUAUUUGAUUUGCAUUUGCAACUAUUGUCUCUGUUAACCCAUGAGAAACUGCAAACACUGGCUGCUUCUGUAGAGGGCAGCUGUUUUGAG